ensembl:lncRNA
CUCUACCACCUCAGACGCUUGAGAGACUUCCAACUGCCCUCCAAGGUGCUCAGGAACUUUUACUCGUGCACCAUAGAGAGCAUCCUGGCGGGAAACAUCUUAACCUGGUUCGGGAACAGCACCAUGCAGGACAGACGAGCUCUACAGAGGGUUGUGCGGUCAGCUGAGCGCACCAUCCGCUCCGAGCUCCCUGACCUGCACUCAAUCUACAGCAGGCGGUGCUGGACCAAGGCCAGGAAGAUGGUGAAGGACCUCAGCCAUCCCAACAACAGACUGUUCUCUCUGCUGAGGUCAGGAAAGCGAUUCCGCUCCCUGAAGACCAACACAGAGAGACUGAGGAGGAGCUUCUUCCCGCAGGCGAUACGGUCACGAGCAGUUGUCCAAGCAUUUCACUACAUAUCGUACUGUGUAUGACUGUGUACGUGACAAAUAAAAUUUGAAUUUGAAUUUGAAUUUGAGCUUCCCUCCCUCCAAGACAUCUACAGGAAGCGGUGCCUGAGGAAAGCGGGGAGGAUCAUCAAGGACUCCAGUCACCCCAGCCAUAAACUGUUCAGACUGCUUCCAUCAGGAAGGAGGUUCUGCAGCAUCCGGUCCCGUACCAGCAGACUGAGAGACAGCUUCUUCCACCAGGCCAUCAGACUGCUGAACACGUCAUAGACACCUCAGCUUCACUACUGGAACUUUAACAUUAUGCACUCCAUACUGUACAGUAACGCCACUGUUUUGCACAUGUCUCACUCUGUAUAUUUUUAUAUAUUUUAUUUAUUGUUUACUCUAUUUAAUUUGUAAAAUAUGUGUACACACACAUACACACACACACACACACAUGUAGAAAAAUAUUUAGUAUACACA